CAUCAUGCUAAUUUUUUGGAUCUGUAAAGAAAAAUAUAAAACUCAUCAUAAGCUAAAUAGCCUAGUAAGCAGUGUAUACCUUUAACUGAAUAAAUCAGGCAAUAAUACUGUACAUAUCGAUUUACUGAUAAUAACAAAAUCAAUAUGUAAAUUCAUGAAUUUAUAAUUUAAUUCAUCACACUAUCAAUCAUAUAUAAAAUUUUAAUUCAUCAUAAUU
rnacentral:lncRNA from 1 species